UACAGAGGGUGCGAGCGUUGUCCGGAAUCACUGGGCGUAAAGGGCGCGUAGGCGGUUCCCUAAGUGUGUGGUGAAAGCUCGGGGCUCAACCCCGAGUCGGCCGUGCAAACUGGGGGACUCGAGCAUGUCAGAGGCAGGCGGAAUUCCGGGUGUAGCGGUGGAAUGCGUAGAGAUCCGGAAGAACACCGGUGGCGAAGGCGGCCUGCUGGGACAUGGCUGACGCUGAGGCGCGACAGCGUGGGGGAGCAAACAGG
rnacentral:rRNA from 1 species